rnacentral:tRNA from 1 species
AGGGGAAUGGCUUAACGGUAGAGUAGUGGUCUCCAAAACCAUUGGUCAGAGUUCGAUUCUCUGCUCCCCUGCCA